rnacentral:snoRNA from 1 species
AGUGUUUAAUUGCAAACCUAAAAUGCUCAAAGCCUACUGAAAACUGUGCCAACAGGGGAAUUUUUUUGAGUCGUUGAUGCGCGCUUUUUGCGCCACACGACUUU